CCAUUUAAGGCGGAUUCCACUUAUUAUUGAGUUUCAUUAAUCUUCACUUGUGUUAAAAUUUUGUUCUAAUCUUGAUAUGUCUCUGAGACGCGACUCAUCUAAACUAUUUUGAUAUAAUUUUUUUAAAAACAUUAUAAAUGGCAUAUUGUGAUACUCCUAUAAUGCAAGUGACCGUCGACUAAGAGAGAAAUUUGAGUUUGCCCCAUUUACUAUUCCUCCAUUUAUUAUCC
rnacentral:lncRNA from 1 species